GGUCCCAUCGUCUAGUGGUCCAGGACCCCGCCCUUUCACGGCGGUAACAGGAGUUCAAAUCUCCUUGGGAUCACCA
rnacentral:tRNA from 1 species